ACGCUGGCGGCAGGCCUAACACAUGCAAGUCGAGCGGUAGAGAGAAGCUUGCUUCUCUUGAGAGCGGCGGACGGGUGAGUAAUGCCUAGGAAUCUGCCUGGUAGUGGGGGAUAACGUCCGGAAACGGACGCUAAUACCGCAUACGUCCUAGGGGAGAAAGCAGGGGACCUUCGGGCCUUGCGCUAUCAGAUGAGCCUAGGUCGGAUUAGCUAGUUGGUGGGGUAAUGGCUCACCAAGGCGUCGAUCCGUAACUGGUCUGAGAGGAUGAUCAGUCACACUGGAACUGAGACACGGUCCAGACUCCUACGGGAGGCAGCAGUGGGGAAUAUUGGACAAUGGGCGAAAGCCUGAUCCAGCCAUGCCGCGUGUGUGAAGAAGGUCUUCGGAUUGUAAAGCACUUUAAGUUGGGAGGAAGGGCAGUAAAUUAAUACUUUGCUGUUUUGACGUUACCAACAGAAUAAGCACCGGCUAACUCUGUGCCAGCAGCCGCGGUAAUACAGAGGGUGCAAGCGUUAAUCGGAAUUACUGGGCGUAAAGCGCGCGUAGGUGGUUCGUUAAGUUGGAUGUGAAAUCCCCGGGCUCAACCUGGGAACUGCAUUCAAAACUGACGAGCUAGAGUAUGGUAGAGGGUGGUGGAAUUUCCUGUGUAGCGGUGAAAUGCGUAGAUAUAGGAAGGAACACCAGUGGCGAAGGCGACCACCUGGACUGAUACUGACACUGAGGUGCGAAAGCGUGGGGAGCAAAC
rnacentral:rRNA from 1 species